UACGGAGGAUGCAAGCGUUAUCCGGAAUGAUUGGGCGUAAAGCGUCCGCAGGUGGCUAUGUAAGUCUGCUGUUAAAGAGCAAAGCUUAACUUUGUAAAAGCAGUGGAAACUACAUAGCUAGAGUGCGUUCGGGGCAGAGGGAAUUUCCGGUGGAGCGGUGAAAUGCGUAGAGAUCGGAAAGAACACCAACGGCGAAAGCACUCUGCUGGGCCGACACUGACACUGAGAGACGAAAGCUAGGGGAGCAAACAGG
rnacentral:rRNA from 1 species